rnacentral:piRNA from 2 species
GGGAAUACCGGGUGCUGUAGGCU